rnacentral:rRNA from 1 species
CCUACGGGUGGCAGCAGUGGGGAAUAUUGCACAAUGGGCGCAAGCCUGAUGCAGCCAUGCCGCGUGUGUGAAGAAGGCCUUCGGGUUGUAAAGCACUUUCAGUCGUGAGGAAGGUAGUGUAGUUAAUAGCUGCAUUAUUUGACGUUAGCGACAGAAGAAGCACCGGCUAACUCCGUGCCAGCAGCCGCGGUAAUACGGAGGGUGCGAGCGUUAAUCGGAAUUACCGGGCGUAAAGCGCAUGCAGGUGGUUUGUUAAGUCAGAUGUGAAAGCCCGGGGCUCAACCUCGGAAUAGCAUUUGAAACUGGCAGACUAGAGUACUGUAGAGGGGGGUAGAAUUCCAGGUGUAGCGGUGAAAUGCGUAGAGAUCUGGAGGAAUACCGGUGGUGAAGGCGGCCCCCUGGACAAAGACUGACGCUCAGGUGCGAAAGCGUGGGGAGCAAACAGGAUUAGAUACCCGUGUAGUC